AGAGUUUGAUCCUGGCUCAGGAUGAACGCUAGCGGCAGGCUUAACACAUGCAAGUCGAGGGGCAGCGCGGGGUAGCAAUACUCUGGCGGCGACCGGCGGAAGGGUGCGUAACGCGUGAGCAACUUGCCCGCAUCAGGGGGAUAAGCGUUGGAAACGGCGUCUAAUACCCCGUAACAACGGUGACCGCAUGAUUACCGUUUGAAAGCUCCGGCGGAUGCGGAUGGGCUCGCGUGACAUUAGCUAGUCGGCGGGGUAACGGCCCACCGAGGCGACGAUGUCUAGGGGUUCUGAGAGGAAGGUCCCCCACACUGGAACUGAGACACGGUCCAGACUCCUACGGGAGGCAGCAGUGAGGAAUAUUGGUCAAUGGCCGGAAGGCUGAACCAGCCAUGCCGCGUGCAGGAAUGAGGCCCUAUGGGUCGUAAACUGCUUUUGUGGCGGAGCAAUAAGGGCUACGUGUAGUCCGAUGAGAGUACGUCACGAAUAAGCAUCGGCUAACUCCGUGCCAGCAGCCGCGGUAAUACGGAGGAUGCGAGCGUUAUCCGGAUUUAUUGGGUUUAAAGGGUGCGUAGGCGGGUUUCCAAGUCAGGGGUGAAAUCCCGGAGCCUAACUCCGGAACUGCCUUUGAUACUGGGAGUCUUGAAUGCGGAUGCCGUGGGAGGAAUGAGUAGUGUAGCGGUGAAAUGCAUAGAUAUUACUCAGAACACCGAUUGCGAAGGCAUCUCACGAAUCCGCGAUUGACGCUGAGGCACGAAAGCGUGGGGAUCAAACAGGAUUAGAUACCCUGGUAGUCCACGCAGUAAACGAUGAUGACUAACCGUCGGCGAUACACAGUCGGUGGCCAAGCGAAAGCGAUAAGUCAUCCACCUGGGGAGUACGACCGCAAGGUUGAAACUCAAAGGAAUUGACGGGGGCCCGCACAAGCGGAGGAACAUGUGGUUUAAUUCGAUGAUACGCGAGGAACCUUACCCGGGCUCGAACGGCUGGUGAAGAGAUCCAGAGAUGGUGACGUCUUCGGACACCAGUCGAGGUGCUGCAUGGUU
rnacentral:rRNA from 1 species